UACGUAGGGUGCAAGCGUUGUCCGGAAUUAUUGGGCGUAAAGAGCUCGUAGGCGGUCUGUCGCGUCUGCUGUGAAAACUCAGGGCUUAACCCUGAGCUUGCAGUGGGUACGGGCAGACUAGAGUGCGGUAGGGGAGACUGGAAUUCCUGGUGUAGCGGUGAAAUGCGCAGAUAUCAGGAGGAACACCGGUGGCGAAGGCGGGUCUCUGGGCCGUAACUGACGCGUGAGGCGCGGAAAGCCCAGGGGAGCAAACGGG
rnacentral:rRNA from 1 species